rnacentral:rRNA from 1 species
CAGUCGUGAGGAAGGCGGCGUCGUUAAUAGCGGCGUUGUUUGACGUUAGCGACAGAAGAAAGCACCGGCUAACUCCGUGCCAGCAGCCGCGGUAAUACGGAGGGUGCGAGCGUUAAUCGGAAUUACUGGGCGUAAAGCGCAUGCAGGUGGUUUGUUAAGUCAGAUGUGAAAGACCCGGGGCGUCAACCUCGGAAUUGCAUUUGUAAACUAGGCAGACUAGAGUACUGUAGAGGGGGGUAGGAAUUUCAGGUGUAGCGGUGAAAUAGCGUAGAGAUCUGAAGGAAUACCGGUGGCGAAGGCGGCCCCCUCGGACAGAUACUGACACUCAGAUGCGAAAGCGUGGGGAGCAAACAGGAUUAGAUACCCUGGUAG